rnacentral:rRNA from 1 species
AUUGAACGCUGGCGGUAUGCUUAAGACAUGCAAGUCGUGCGGUAGAAGGCUUCGGCCUUUGAGAGCGGCGGACGGGUGAGUAACACGUGGGAAUCUGCCUAUUAGUGGGGGACAGCCCAGCGAAAGCUGGAUUAAUACCGCAUACGCCUACGGGGAAAGGACAGCAAUGCGCUAAUAGAUGAGCCCGCGUAAGAUUAGCUAGUUGGUAAGGUAAAGGACUUACCAAGGCGACGAUCUUUAGUCUGGUCUGAGAGGAUGGCCAGCCACAUCGGGACUGAGACACGGCCCGGACUCCUACGGGAGACAGCAGUCGGGAAUAUUGGACAAUGGGCGCAAGCCUGAUCCAGCCAUGCCGCGUGCGGGAAGAAGGCCUCGGUUGUAA